UGGAACUAUUUUGGAUGGAUUAGCUUUGUGGAAGAAGAAUGUGGACAAGAGGUUUGAGGGAGUUGAGGAAUGUAUGAUCUGUUUCUACGUUCUUCAUGGUUCGACGUGUCAGCUACCUCGCUUAUCUUGCCGUACAUGUAAAAAAAAGUUUCAUUCAGCUUGUUUGUACAAAUGGUUCAACACCAGUCAGAAGUCUACCUGCCCACUAUGUAGAGAAUUCUUCUAGACAUCUAAUUUGUAAGUUGAAAUUGUCAUCCCUGUUGAAGCAGUUUGUAAAAUUUGUAAAAGAAAGUUUGGUUGAUAUAGAAAUGUAUUGUCAGAGUUUAUAAUAUUGCAAGGUAAAAUAAUAAAAUAAAGCUUCCUGGUGUGUUUUUUCUAUCUCA